rnacentral:rRNA from 1 species
GAUGAACGCUGGCGGCGUGCCUAAUACAUGCAAGUCGAGCGAACAGACGAGGAGCUUGCUCCUCUGACGUUAGCGGCGGACGGGUGAGUAACACGUGGAUAACCUACCUAUAAGACUGGGAUAACUUCGGGAAACCGGAGCUAAUACCGGAUAAUAUAUUGAACCGCAUGGUUCAAUAGUGAAAGACGGUUUUGCUGUCACUUAUAGAUGGAUCCGCGCCGCAUUAGCUAGUUGGUAAGGUAACGGCUUACCAAGGCAACGAUGCGUAGCCGACCUGAGAGGGGAAUGGGCAACACGGAACUGGGACCAGGGCCAGGCUCCUACGGGAGGCAGCAGUAGGGAAUCUUCCGCAAUGGGCGAAAGCCUGACGGAGCAACGCCGCGUGAGUGAUGAAGGUCUUCGGAUCGUAAAACUCUGUUAUUAGGGAAGAACAAAUGUGUAAGUAACUAUGCACGUCUUGACGGUACCUAAUCAGAAAGCCACGGCUAACUACGUG